UAAUGGUUAGAAUUACCAUAAUUGUCAAUAGGAUAUUUUCUUGAAGAAUGUGAUGUAACCGUUUCCUUUGACUUGAGAUCAUCAUAGUAAUUGACAAGAUAUUUAUUGUGCUUUGAUACUAGACACCUAUUGGGUACGAUUAGUUGAAAGGAUAUUGGGUACGAUUAAGUACUUGUAGAAUUAGUGAUUGAUCAAGAUGGAAUCUGUCAACUCUUGGUAAUGAGUUUAAGCU
rnacentral:lncRNA from 1 species